CACGUAGGGCGCGAGCGUUGUCCGGAAUCAUUGGGCGUAAAGCGCGCGUAGGCGGCCAGAUAAGUCCGGUGUGAAAGUCACAGGCUCAACCUGUGAAUGCCGCUGGAAACUGUCUGGCUGGAGUACGGUAGGGGCAGAGGGAAUUUCCGGUGGAGCGGUGAAAUGCAUUGAGAUCGGAAAGAACACCAACGGCGAAAGCACUCUGCUGGGCCGACACUGACACUGAGAGACGAAAGCUAGGGGAGCAAAUGGG
rnacentral:rRNA from 1 species